rnacentral:rRNA from 1 species
UACAGAGGUCUCAAGCGUUGUUCGGAUUCAUUGGGCGUAAAGGGUGCGUAGGCGGCGCGGUAAGUCGGGUGUGAAAUCUCGGAGCUUAACUCCGAAACUGCAUUCGAUACUGCCGUGCUUGAGGACUGGAGAGGAGACUGGAAUUUACGGUGUAGCGGUGAAAUGCGUAGAUAUCAGGAGGAACACCGGUGGCGAAGGCGGGUCUCUGGGCCGUAACUGACGCUGAGGAGCGAAAGCAUGGGGAGCGAACAGG